rnacentral:rRNA from 1 species
GCGAUUCGGCAUGGUCUGAUUUAAUUGUUUUCUUGCUUUGUUUUAUGUUGCCUUUAAGUGGAUUGUUUUUGAAGUAUCAUUUUUGUUGUUGUAAGUUUUUGAUUUAAUUUUUUUGCGAUAGUUUAUUUGUACUGUGGGGGGUUGUUAUUUAAUUUUUUAGAAGUUGAUUUUGUUUGUUGUACCUUGUGUAUCAGGGUUUAUUGAAUUUUAUUAUUUAUUUUUAUUUCCCGAUUUUGGAGGAGUUAGCAGUUUAUGUUAGUUGCUGUUUCAUCAGCAUUGGUAAUAGGCUGUUGGUAGUGAAAUGUUAGUCGUCUUUGAUGGUUUCUGGUUUUCUAAGAAAUGAAUUUAAUUCAUGCGCCUUGUUUAGAUUUUAUUGUUGGUUUAUUCUUUUUUAUUUGGUGUUAAGAUUAAGGGGGAUUAGCUCUUUAUUUUAUUUUUAUAACCUUUUUUGUGUUUUAGUUUUGUGGAUUUUAUGGUGAUUUUCAAUUUGAUUAUGUUAGAAUUUUAUUUGCUCUUAUUUUUUAUUUAUAUUUGGUUUAAGUUUGUUUAUUAGAAUGAUUUUUUAUCUUUUUAUGUGUAGUAAUUAUUGUGGAAUUAGUAAAUUUUUUGUUUUAUGUUGUUUUUUAGGUGUUAAUUCCUUUUAAGGAAUUAGGCAAAGAUUUAGUGUCCGCCUGUUUAACAAAAACAUCUCUUCUUGUUAGUUUUUGAAGUAUGGCCUGCCCACUGACGUAUAUAUUGAGUUGAAGGGCCGCGGUAUUUUGACCGUGCAAAGGUAGCAUAAUCAUUAGUUCUUUAAUUGUGAUCUGGUAUGAAUGGCUUGACGAGACAUGUGCUGUCUUGAUUGUGGAAAUUGUUGUUGAAUUUGGUUUUUGAGUUAGAAUUCUUAGAUGUUUUUAUGGGACGAGAAGACCCUAUAGAGUUUAACAUUGGUUUUAUGGCUUGUUUUGUUUGUUUUGGUUGCUUGUAUUUCUAUUUGUUUUGUUGGGGUGAUGGGAGGAAUUUUUUUAACUCCUCUUUGAUUUGGUAUAUUUAUUUGUAUUUAUUUUGAUCCAUUUAUUUUGAUUAUAAGAUUAAAUUACCUUAGGGAUAACAGCGUUAUCCUCCCUGAGAGUUCUUAUUGGCGGGGGGGUUUGCGACCUCGAUGUUGGAUUAAGGUUAAUUUUUGGUGUAGGAGCUGAAUUGAUUGGGUCUGUUCGACCCUUAAAAUCUUACAUGAUCUGAGUUCAAACCGGCGUGAGCCAGGUUGGUUUCUAUCUAUAAUGAGUCUUAUGCCUUAGUACGAGAGGACCGGGUAUUUGGAAUAAUUUUUUUUGUAUUGUAUAUUAUUAAUGGUUGCUAUUUUGGCAGAUAAGUGCACUGGAUUUAGAAUCUAUUAA